AGUGAACGCUGGCGGUAGGCCUAACACAUGCAAGUCGAACGGCAGCACAGUAAGAGCUUGCUCUUACGGGUGGCGAGUGGCGGACGAGUGAGGAAUACAUCGGAAUCUACUUUUUCGUGGGGGAUAACGUAGGGAGACUUACGCUAAUACCGCAUACGACCUACGGGUGAAAGCAGGGGAUCUUCGGACCUUGCGCGAUUGAAUGAGCCGAUGUCGGAUUAGCUAGUUGGCGGGGUAAAGGCCCACCAAGGCGACGAUCCGUAGCUGGUGUGAGAGGAUGAUCAGCCACACUGGAACUGGGACACGGUCCAGACUCCUAUGGGAGGCAGCAGUGGGGAAUAUUGGACAAUGGGCGCGAGCCUGGUCCAAUCAUACCGCGUGGGUGAAGAAGGCCUUCGGGUUGUAAAGCCCUUUUGUUGGUAAAGAAAAGCAGCAGGUUAAUACCCCGCUGUUCUGACGGUACCCAAAGAAUAAGCACCGGCUAACUUCGUG
rnacentral:rRNA from 1 species